UCUCUCACUGGGGCUUGCUAUCACUGUGG
rnacentral:piRNA from 2 species